rnacentral:rRNA from 1 species
GAAUAUUGGACAAUGGGGGAAACCCUGAUCCAGCCAUGCCGCGUGUGUGAAGAAGGUCUUCGGAUUGUAAAGCACUUUAAGGUGGGAGGAAGGGCGUCAAGCUAAUACCUUGAUGUUUUGACGUUACCAACAGAAUAAGCACCGGCUAACUCUGUGCCCGCAGCCGCGGUAAUACAGAGGGGGCAAGCGUUAAUCGGAAUUACUGGGCGUAAAGCGGGCGGAGUUGGUUCGUUAAGUUGGAUGUUAAAACCCCGGGCUCAACCUGGGAACUGCAUCCAAAACUGGCGAGCUAGAGUAGGGCAGAGGAGGGUGGAAUUUCCUGUGUAGCGGUGAAAUGCGUAGAUAUAGGGAGGAACACCAGUGGCGAAGGCGACCACCUGGGCUCAUACUGACACUGAGGUGCGAAAGCGUGGGGAGCAAACAG